UACGUAGGGCGCAAGCGUUGUCCGGAAUUAUUGGGCGUAAAGAGCGCGCAGGCGGUCGUCCAAGUCGCGUGUGAAAGCCCCUGGCUCAACUGGGGAGGGUCACGCGAUACUGGUCGACUCGAAGGCAGGAGAGGGUAGUGGAAUUCCCGGUGUAGUGGUGAAAUGCGUAGAUAUCGGGAGGAACACCAGUGGCGAAGGCGACUACCUGGCCUGUUCUUGACGCUGAGGCGCGAAAGCUAGGGGAGCAAACGGG
rnacentral:rRNA from 1 species